CGUUUUUGAACUCAGGGCAUGACUGUACACCAAAAAUGAUCAUCAGCUUACCGAGUUCAAAAAUGUUGUAAAUGUACUAGUGUUAUCUGUGAAAGUUUACAGCAAUUGUCGUAAGCAGAGCAUUCGAUAUAGUUAUAGUUUUCCCACGAUUUUGAACCACUUUUUCUACGCCAAGAAGAAAGCUUUAACAAAGCAUAUUCUAAAAAAAUAUUGCAUCAUAUUCAUCUAAUUUCGUGUGACUCGAGUUCAUCGAAAGUCUGCUCUGUGGUGCUUUGAAGCAACCAUAAGAAGUGGAGGGUUAAGCAUUUUCUCAUACAUCUCAAUAUUGCUUCCAAAAAGUGGUUUAAAACCAUUUCAAAUUGUCAUAAAUCAAAAUGAAAGGUGCAAAACCACGAGCCCUAUAGGACCACCAUUUGAAAAACAUCUUUGGCAACAUGAAGAAAGCUCAUGUUGAAAUGCCGUCGGCAUUUUCAACUUUUUCCUCGUGGUGUUGCUGCUUCUCCGAAUAACACACAUUCGUUUUUUGUGAUGUUCUUUUUAUGGGACACAUUUAUUUUCAUCACUGCAGCUUUUCAUUUGAACUUUAUAGAAAUGUUUGUGUAUAUAAAUUGCUUUUAAAAGUAUUUUCACAAACAUCGCAUUGCAAACUAGAAUAAAGAAUAAAGUUGUUCUAUUUUUCGCUGUCGGGAAACUUCACACACUUUAGCAACAUUUAAAAAGCCGAAGAAAAAACAAUUAUUUUUUUCUGACUGCACUAUUUUUGAAGAAAAACACAUUCACUACCAUCCAACACCAAGGAACAGACAAGCCGAAGGACGAAGGACGCGAGGGCAUCAUAAUUCAUUCAGUUUUACAACCGUCACACUGCUUUUCGGGGCGCACGCCCAAUAGCGUCGAUCAUCAACGAACAAACUGCUUUUCUUCCCCCCCCCCCCCCACACUUCAGCCCACACCGCCAGCAGUCAUCAUUUCCUUCCACACCGCCCAGUCACCGGAACACGGACGGAUCCAUCAAUCCAGUAGCAAGCAGCCAGCCAGCAGCGGUGAGACACUUUUCUUUGAGUUCCUCUGAAGUCUGUGAUGCGCGAUGACGGUGGGUUUCCUCCGAAUGCACCCGCAGCAAUUUAGGGGUCUUUCUCUCUUUCUCUUGGUGGAUAGAGUUGAAAUGAGAGAUCUCCCGAUGCUCCACGGACGGCGGCGGUGGAUCACAGCGAUUGACGCGAGAAGCUGUCACUCCGGAGAUGGAUGGCAUCAAGACUACAGUACCUAGUUGACAAGACUCGAAUGGAUCUGUCUAUAUGUUAGGGCUGCGGGGAACGUUUGUUAACUGGAGAGAAAGAGAAUCUGGCUUGCGAUGUGUGGCUGUAUUAGGUUUUGGUGUUUCCCCUUAAUUUUAAGGGGAAACUGUACGUGAAACCAUUUUUUAUCUCUGAGCGAAGAGGAGAAAUGGAGGAGAGAAUUGAAUGCUCUGUAGAGAGCCGCUCCGGUUGGAGGAGAAUUUAUGUAUUUCAAUCGGCGUUCGGGGACCAAAGAUAUUCCCCUUCGAGAGCAAGAGCGUAGACUACGACUACAAUUGAAGACGAUUACUACUACACCGAGCUGACAGGUGGUCAUCUUUCGUGGGGGCUGGGAGCCCAUACUGAUUGCUGCCAAUUUUUCUUCACUUCUCGGCGGUCUGUCUACGGAGAGUUCGCUUUGGGGAGAUAUUAUGCAUUCAUGCCAUCUUGUUCUGGUCAACGAUGCAGUUCGUCUUCCGGAAUGUUCGAAUCGUCUCGUUUACUCCGGUAUCAGGUCUUCGUCAUCGUCGCCGCUGAUGGUCACCGGAGAGGGUGGACGAGUUCCCGUGAACAGCAAUAUCAGCAUCAGAAAAACUGCACAACAUCGGCGACUCGUGGUCAACUAGUGUGUCAUUCUGCAGAAUCACACCAGAAUUCCAAACCCCGUCGGAACGAACGAACGGGAACACGUCGGUAAUUUAGGUUGACUUUGUAUGCGAGCAUAUUGCCCGAAGUUGAUGCGUGGUCGUCGCCGUUAACAUCGUCGCGUAGAACGUCUCGUAAUAUCGCCGAUGAUUUAUUGAAGAUUCUUGGAUCAAUAGCUUGUCCGUUUGUAUGCCCUUCGGAAAAAAAUGUUGUCUCGUUGAUAGUGUUCGAUAGCCAACUAAAGUCUUGGUUCUGAAAACCCCUUAAGUCAGUCGUAUCGAUUUUUCGGUGUAUCCCCCGUCUUUAGAUUGAACUAGUUCCAAUCUAUCGUAUUACAACUCCCACAACGUGUUGCCGGUAGUCUACGCCGUCAAGUGGAAAACGAAAACACAAAAUCACAUGUUUUUCACGAAAGGCCGUAGAGAAUAACAAAAUACCGGCUUCGUCGUAGCAAAGUAAAGCAAAAAAAAAAGAGUGACAUGUUUGUGUACGUUGCGAACACUGGCUCUAAAAGGCAUACGACGAAUACCCAUAAUAAUGACUGUGUGUAGCCCCAAACAGUCAGGUCAGCCAGCAAGCAGUUCGGAGUGAUGUACGCGUGAAAUUUAUGUUUAUGUGCGCCUCUCGGUCUCGAAAUUGCGUUUUUAUGAGAGUGAGAGCGAACCCCUCUGACUCUUAUGCUGCCUUCGUGUUGUAUGUGUACACGCAUUUUCCGUUUUUCCAGUUUGCAGCACCACUUCUGCUUCUACUGAUGAGGGCUAAGAAGUCGUGUGAAGAAGAGAAGCGAUCAAAACGUAAGCAUGCACAGUAUGGAAUAGCGAUGAAGGUGUUGGUGGUGCUGCAUACUGCAGGUGCUGGAGUGAGAGGAUGCUUUGUGUAGAAACGAAACCGAGCAACAGAUGGCACUUCAAGUAAUAAAAAUUGGGGGAAAUGAAAAACUGUGCUAUAUAUUGAAUGUAAAUAGCCGGUGUUCAGAGCCGCCGGAUAUUGGACAUUGAACCAACUUUUCAACGCAAACUGGUUUGUGUGAAUAAAAUAGGUGUGUUUAUUGGAGGUGCUUCAAGUGGAUGAAAUUGAAGAUGAUCGUGUGAAGAGUGAAGUGAAGUGAUUGUGUCUCUUUAUUGAGUCGUGAAACAAUUGUUAUUUAGUGAAAUUGCUGUGCAAAAUUUAUUUAGCAUCAUCAUGCGAUCCAAGCAACAACCGAGGCCAUCAUAUCGUUGGAUCAAAAAUGAAAACGGUAAGAAAGCAUUUUCAAUAUGAACCCUUUUAAACCCAUUUUCACAGAACAAAUAUC